rnacentral:rRNA from 1 species
CAGUAGCCACGGGAAUACGAAGGGGGCUAGCGUUGCUCGGAAUGACUGGGCGUAAAGGGCGCGUAGGCGGCGGCCAAAGUCAGACGUGAAAUUCCUGGGCUCAACCUGGGGGCUGCGUUUGAUACUUGGUUGCUUGAGUGGGGAAGAGGGUCGUGGAAUUCCCAGUGUAGAGGUGAAAUUCGUAGAUAUUGGGAAGAACACCGGUGGCGAAGGCGGCGACCUGGUCCUUUACUGACGCUGAGGCGCGAAAGCGUGGGGAGCAAACAGGAUUAGAUACCCCUGUAGUCCCUGUCUCUUAUAC